GAGCACCACUCAGGGGAACUUGACGCUUAAUUCGAUGAUCCGCGAAUUACCUUACCUCUUCUUGCCCAAUAAAGCGGGUCAGGCUGUUUAUCCCCGUCUAAAGUUUUUAGUUUAAGCUAACAGAAAUGAGACACGAAAACUUGUACGUUUCUAGGACAGGCCGAGAUGCACCUUAUGGAGAGGGGUUAGUUGAGUUACAAUUACUUAAAAGUAGUGGAAAAGUUUUGGAAGUAGGCUUGGAAAGUGGACCUGAUAGUACAGCUAAAUCAUCAUGUUAGCUAGAAAGGUUGGACCUCGGUGCGUACAAAUCGCCCGUCGCCCUCUUCGAAAGUGGAGGUA
rnacentral:rRNA from 1 species